GCUCAGGUGGCCUAGUGGUUAGAGCGUCCGCCUCGGAUGCGAGAGGUCAUAGGUUCGAACCUCGGCUAAGUCA